rnacentral:lncRNA from 1 species
GAGUGGGCUGGUGGAAAGGGUUUCUUGGCAAGAAUGGCUACUACCUUCCAAAGGCAAACAGACUGCAGCCCAAGCACCAGGUGUGCUGGGAGUGAGCUCACCAGGAGCAGGGUGGUGACAGUGGAAGGCUCUCCUGAGUGCCUCCCUGGCCUCAUUAGCACCUCACUCACUGCUGGGGACCAGAGUACUAAGAUGAAAAAGCACCUUCAUGGAGUGUUGGCCCCUUACCUCGGUUUCUACGUUGAUAAUGUAGAGGCUUCAAUUCCCUCCAGAUGUUCUCUAUCAAGUCAGUCUCCUAGAAUAAUUGAAGGAUAUUAUCAUGGAAUCUCAGAACCAGGAAGAGGAAGAGGCAGAGAGCUCAUACCCCAAACACUUCCCAAGGGAGCCUGAAGAUCAUCGG